rnacentral:rRNA from 1 species
AACGAACGCUGGCGGCAUGCCUAACACAUGCAAGACGAACGAAGGCUUCGGCCUUAGUGGCGCACGGGUGAGUAACACGUGGGAAACUGACUUCCGGUUCGGAAUAACGUCUGGAAACGGACGCUAACACCGGAUACGCCCUUCGGGGGAAAGUUUACGCCGGAAGCGGGGCGCGAGUCGGAUGAGGUAGUUGGGGAGGUAAUGGCUCACCAAGCCUUGGAUCCGUCGCUGGUCUGAGAGGAUGAUCAGCCACACUGGGACUGGGACACGGCCCAUACUCCUACGGGAGGCAGCAGUGGGGAAUAUUGGACAAUGGGCGCAAGCCUGAUCCAGCAAUGCCGCGUGAGUGAUGAAGGCCUUAGGGUUGUAAAGCUCUUUCGCACGCGACGAUGAUGACGGUAGCGUGAGAAGAAGCCCCGGCUAACUUCGUGCCAGCCGCCGCGGUAAAAC